UACGUAGGGUGCGAGCGUUAAUCGGAAUUACUGGGCGUAAAGCGUGCGCAGGCGGUUUGCUAAGACAGGUGUGAAAUCCCCGGGCUUAACCUGGGAACUGCGCUUGUGACUGGCAGGCUAGAGUACGGCAGAGGGGGUGGAAUUCCUGGUGUAGCAGUGAAAUGCGUAGAUAUCAGGAGGAACACCGAUGGCGAAGGCAGCCCCCUGGGCCUGUACUGACGCUCAUGCACGAAAGCGUGGGGAGCAAACAGGAUUAGAUACCCCU
rnacentral:rRNA from 1 species